CAAAAAAUGUAUAAUUUUCUUAUUCAAAAUUGCCUGCAGCAUUUUAAAUGAGGAAACCUAAACUAUUAAGAAAAAAAUUGUUCACAUUUUCAAUGCAUAGGCAAAGGCAUGUCGAAAUAUUCAUUAUGUGUGUACAGAAUUCCCUGAGUUAGUAGGGCUCUACAGAGCCAGUUCGUAAGUGAAUGCAUUAUGCUAUCAAUAUUAGGACUUUUUUCCUAAAGGAUGAUGAAACUAUCAUGUAUGAUACUCAAGUGAUGGAUACACAACAGCAUGCAUUUGUCAAGACCCAUACAAUUUAUAGCACAAAAACUGACUUUAAUAUACGCAAAUUUAAAAAAUUAUUUGAAAGGUUGGGAGUUCUCAGAAUGAAAUGUAUACUGUGACAAAAGAAUCUAACUGCAUAACAUGUACAAAACAAUCUCACUAAAAAAAUAAGGAGAAAAGGUUCUGGCUUAAGAAAGUUUGAAAAUGAGUGGAGUCUGUAAGACUAACAGCAAAUAAACUUCAUGUAAGUAUU
rnacentral:antisense_RNA from 1 species